rnacentral:rRNA from 1 species
AGAGUUUGAUCAUGGCUCAGAACGAACGCUGGCGGCAUGCCUAACACAUGCAAGUCGAACGAAGCCUUCGGGCUUAGUGGCGCACGGGUGCGUAACGCGUGGGAAUCUGCCCUUGGGUUCGGAAUAACAGUUAGAAAUGACUGCUAAUACCGAAUGAUGUCUUCGGACCAAAGAUUUAUCGCCCAAGGAUGAGCCCGCGUCGGAUUAGCUAGUUGGUGAGGUAAAAGGCUCACCAAGGCGACGAUCCGUAGCUGGUCUGAGAGGAUGAUCAGCCACACUGGGACUGAGACACGGCCCAGACUCCUACGGGAGGCAGCAGUGGGGAAUAUCGGACAAUGGGCGAAAGCCUGAUCCAGCAAUGCCGCGUGAGUGAUGAAGGCCUUAGGGUUGUAAAGCUCUUUUACCCGGGAUGAUAAUGACAGUACCGGGAGAAUAAGCCCCGGCUAACUCCGUG